AUUGAACGCUGGCGGCAGGCCUAACACAUGCAAGUCGGACGGUAGCACAGAGGAGCUUGCUCCUCGGGUGACGAGUGGCGGACGGGUGAGUAAUGUCUGGGGACCUGCCCGAUAGAGGGGGAUAACCACUGGAAACGGUGGCUAAUACCGCAUAACGUCGCAAGACCAAAGAGGGGGACCUUCGGGCCUCUCACUAUCGGAUGAACCCAGAUGGGAUUAGCUAGUAGGCGGGGGAAUGGCCCACCUAGGCGACGAUCCCUAGCUGGUCUGAGAGGAUGACCAGCCACACUGGAACUGAGACACGGUCCAGACUCCUACGGGAGGCAGCAGUGGGGAAUAUUGCACAAUGGGCGCAAGCCUGAUGCAGCCAUGCCGCGUGUAUGAAGAAGGCCUUCGGGUUGUAAAGUACUUUCAGCGGGGAGGAAGGCGGUGCGGUUAAUAACCGCGCCGAUUGACGUUACCCGCAGAAGAAGCACCGGCUAACUCCGUGCCAGCCGCCGCCGUAAUAC
rnacentral:rRNA from 1 species